rnacentral:lncRNA from 1 species
AGUGUGGACAACUACUACAAAGGGGCUGUCUUUUCUAAGAUAUGUCAAGGCCUGAAAACCCACUAACUGUUUGAAAUCCAGGAAAACCAUGAGUGGAAAUUUUCAAACUAUAAGGAAGAGUGUCCUGAUAUCUGCUCCAAUCCUGCUUACAAUUUGCUAUCUGCCAGAUUCCCAAGGAAAGUGCUAGAUGCGGGCGUACAGAUGUGUGUAGCAGUACAACAUGUAUUCAUAAGGAAUUAUUGGCUCAUGUCAAUAAAACCCAAGUGUGACAAGUAUCAGGCUUCUGAAACAUGUAGAUCAAAAAAAACAGGUAAGUACCUUAAGUACAAU